GAUGAACGCUAGCGGCAGGCUUAAUACAUGCAAGUCGAGGGGCAGCACAGAUAGCAAUAUUGGGUGGCGACCGGCAAACGGGUGCGGAACACGUACACAACCUUCCUUUUAGUGUGGGAUAGCCCAGAGAAAUUUGGAUUAAUACCACAUAGUAUAUUGGAGUGGCAUCACUUUGAUAUUAAAGAUUUAUCGCUAAAAGAUGGGUGUGCGUAUGAUUAGGUAGUUGGUAGAGGUAACGGCUCACCAAGCCUUCGAUCAUUAACUGGUGUGAGAGCACGACCAGUCACACGGGCACAGGGACACGGGCCCGGCUCCUACGGGAGGCAGCAGUAAGGAAUAUUGGUCAAUGGACUGAAGUCUGAACCACCCAUGGCGCGUGAAGGAUGACGGCCCUCUGGGUUGUAAACUUCUUUUAUGUGGGACGAAAAAGGGCCAUUUUUGGUCAACUGACGGUACCAUAGGAAUAAGCACCGGCUAACUCCGUGCCAGCCGCCGCAGUAA
rnacentral:rRNA from 1 species